UCAGCACUGGCGAGUGUAGUGCCCCAUGACACCAUCCCUUCCAGAAGUCUUACUUCUGAAUACAUGAUGAUCAGAGAAGCACUCACCCAAGAUCUCAUGAGCAUCAGUGACUGGACCCGCAAUCAGUCUCCACUUGUGCCAUCAGCAAAGCUUUUUACUAUAUAGGUACUUGGCUUCAAUACUACCAAGCAGAAGGUUGAUCAGAAAAUUCUUCAUAUCCUGGACAUUGACCACAGGACCUUCACACCACACUGAGCUACCUCCCCAGCCUGUUUCAUUUUUCAUUGUGAGACAGAGUCUUGGUAAGUGGCUCAGACUGGACUCAAACUUUUGAUAUUCAGCUUCAACCUCCCAAAUCCUGAGAUGAAAGGUGUGUGCCACCAAACUUCUUUACUUUUUAUUCUGUUCCUGUUCUCUUGGUUCACCUUUCCCUUUGCAGCCCCAUGGAUGAUUUCUCUUAUUCCCUCAGAGCCUUGGAUCUUUUUGCAAAUAGAGGCAGUGUACAAGC